UGAGGCUNGAAAGCGUGGGUAGCGAACAGGAUUAGAUACCNUGGUAGUCCACGCCGUAAACGAUGAGUGCUAGGUGUUAGGCCCUUUCCGGGGCUUAGUGCCGGAGCUAACGCAAUAAGCACUCCGCCUGGGGAGUACGACCGCAAGGUUGAAACUCAAAGGAAUUGACGGGGGCCCGCACAAGCGGUGGAGCAUGUGGUUUAAUUCGAAGCAACGCGAAGAACCUUACCAGGUCUUGACAUCCCGAUGCUAUUCUUAGAGAUAGGAAGUUACUUCGGUACAUCGGAGACAGGUGGUGCAUGGUUGUCGUCAGCUCGUGUCGUGAGAUGUUGGGUUAAGUCCCGCAACGAGCGCAACCCUUAUUGUUAGUUGCCAUCAUUAAGUUGGGCACUCUAGCGAGACUGCCGGUAAUAAACCGGAGGAAGGUGGGGAUGACGUCAAAUCAUCAUGCCCCUUAUGACCUGGGCUACACACGUGCUACAAUGGUCGGUACAACGAGUUGCGAGCCGGUGACGGCAAGCUAAUCUCUGAAAGCCGAUCUCAGUUCGGAUUGGAGGCUGCAACUCGCCUCCAUGAAGUCGGAGUCGCUAGUAAUCGCGGAUCAGCACGCCGCGGUGAAUACGUUCCCGGGCCUUGUACACACCGCCCGUCACACCACGAGAGUUUGUAACACCCGAAGUCGGUGAGGUANCCUUUUAGGGGCCA
rnacentral:rRNA from 1 species